rnacentral:lncRNA from 1 species
UUUCUUAUUUCUAAUAUCAUCACUAUCAGUAAAUAUAUUCCAAAAGAAGACUGAUAUGUCAAUUUUACAUAAACGAAAGGCUGAGAAUUCUAUGAACAUAUGAACACAAUAUCCUCUGGAGAAGUUAUCAAAUUUCAGCUGCAAAUCUUCCCAUGGCCUUUGUCGGAUACCCUGAUAUUGUUUACCUCUGGAUGAUCAAUCGUUCAUGUCUUAUAUUUUUUU